UCAAGGGGUUAAGGUUUGUUGGUGAGCCUGUAAAAUCAAUGGGGAUGUUUAUGAGCCGGAAAAAACAAACGGAGCGGUUUUAGUCGGUGAGCCAGGGAAAACCGACCAGGUUCGUUGUGAUACUGCGAAAACAAUAAGUUGGGUUGUGAGCUUGUAAAACUACUGGGCUGUAAUCUUGAGAUUAUAGUGAACUCCCAAGAGAAGCUUAGGGAGUGGAUGUAGGAGCCAGGGUUGGCUCCGAACCACUAUAAAAACCUUGUGUUUGUGUUGUGAUCUAUCUUACUUUACUUCUUUACCGCUUUCUUAUAGAUUACUCAAUUAUAUUUACUUAAAAUCAAGAAAGCUUUCUUAUAGAUUACUUAAUUACAUUUGCUUAAAAGUUUGGAACAGCCAAACCACAUAAGGAAUCAAAAUUAAACCCAUACCCGGCCUUGUUACCCAUAUCGUCCAUCCCUUGCAAAUCAGUAUCUUACUAGCUAAAGGGGGN
rnacentral:lncRNA from 1 species